rnacentral:rRNA from 1 species
UACAGAGGGGGCAAGCGUUAUUCGGAAUUAUUGGGCGUAAAGGGCGCGUAGGCGGCUUGGCAAGUGGAUGGUGAAAUCCCUCGGCUUAACCGAGGAACUGCCGUCCAAAACUGCUUCGCUUGAGACCGGGAGAGGUGAGUGGAAUUCCCAGUGUAGCGGUGAAAUGCGUAGAUAUUGGGAGGAACACCAGUGGCGAAGGCGGCUCACUGGCCCGGUACUGACGCUGAGGUGCGGAAAGCGUGGGGAGCAAACAGGG